AUACGUAGGUCCCGAGCGUUGCGCGGAGUCACUGGGCGUAAAGCGUCCGCAGCCGGCCCCGUAAGCGGGAUGUCAAGGCCCGCCGCUCAACGGCGGAACGGCAUCCCGAACUGCGGGGCUUGAGGCGCGCCCGGGCCGGCGGAAUUCCCGGGGUAGCGGUGAAAUGCGUAGAUCUCGGGAGGAACACCGAAGGGGAAGCCAGCCUGCUGGGGCCGUCCUGACGGUCAGGGACGAAAGCCGGGGGAGCAAACCGGAUUAGAAACCCUAGUAGUCC
rnacentral:rRNA from 1 species